UGCACUGUAGGGUAUCUGUACCUGGCAGUGUCUUCCUGAUGGGGUGUUCAAAAAGCAGUGCUACAGCAUUUCAGCAGCUGGCUUUGCUGGUUUUCACACAAAUGUGCAGCUUAAGCUUGGUAUUUCUGUUCAAACAAGU
rnacentral:snoRNA from 1 species